CCUUGACCUCUGGGGAGGGAAGAAAGGUUAGAGGUUGAAUCAGUUUCCAGCGAUCAAUUAUUUAAUCAAUCAUGCCUGUGUAAUGAAGUCUCCAUAAAAACUCAAAAGGAAGAAUCACAGGCCUGUUUUAGCCACAAGUCAGAACCCAGAUAUUACUCUGCAAAUCAAAAUGCCAAACCUUUGGGAGAAAGAAUCUGAUUGGAUCUGCUUGGUUUAGGUGUUCUGCUGCUAGGCAAAUCAACGUGGGCUGGGAAAAGUCAUGAAGCAUGAAGCUGACUGCUUAUGGACUAUUCAUAUGUGGCAAACCCUGAGAAGAAGCGAAUCCAUCCCUCAACGGUCUACUGAAAGAAACCUUUAAAGAAACUCCAUGUCCCAAGAACACACAUCUCUUGUAAAGAUGACAACAAAAUGGGAGGAAAGUCUAAAUGAAGGAGGCAUAUAUCCCUGCACACAGGGAUAGCCAACACCCACUUGAGAGCUGAUCUGGGAGGAUUAUCAGCAUGACUGCAUAGGAAUUUAUUUUCUGUGAUUUGUUGUGCUUCAUUUCACUGGAAUAUAGGGUUCAUCUUUAAA